rnacentral:lncRNA from 1 species
AUGCUGGGGACUCAGGUGCUGGCACGUGAUUUAUGCGAAGUAACAUCUUGGAACAAAGACCGCCUCCCCCAUCACGGCACUGCUGCCCAAACCAGGCUUGGACCCACAAAACGUCCCGGAAUCUUAGACAGACGUCGCUGGUCAGUGAGCAAGCUGCCGUGUGAGACAGAAAGGGAUGCUGACUGCCUUCAUGCCCCUCAACUCUGUCUCUCUGUCUCUCUCCACAUGGGCAGAUUCUGAGACAUCUCAUUUUAUGACUUUAGAAAAAAACCCUUGUGCCCGCAACUUCCUGCCCACCCCGUACUCUGACUAUGCUGUGUAAAAAUGUCUCCCAGUCUAUUUAAAAUGUAAUCCUCAGUCCAGAAACAGCAUCACUCUACUUUGGGUUAGGAGGAAAUUUUUCUUUUAAGAUAAAACCCACAUCUCUGGGAUUCAGUCUCCCACCUGUGAGGAAAGACUUUAAAACACACUUUCAUAUUUUAAUACAUUUUGACACACAUGUGAUUUAUAUGUAUUGAUGUAGGGAAAACAAUUGAAAAAGAAGUGUUGUAUUCAUUUUAAGAAUAUGCCCAUCAGGGAACAGAAAGCUUACUCCAUUAAAAAAAAUAGAAUAUUAGAGAGGAUGGUAAUUUUACCUAAAAUAAGUCAGCCAAAAAAAAAAAAAAAAACCUCCUUUGAAUGUUGCUUUUGUUUUUUGCACUGAACAUUGUUGAGUCUCGUUUAAGAUAAACUGCUUCAUGUUUUGUAACUAACAUAAGAUGUUCAUGGGAAUAGUUAAAAAUGAAUGAGGGUCUUUCCUCAAGCAAGCAAAGGAAAUGUAAAGAUUUUCGUAAUUAGACACUGAACGGCAAUAACAUAUGAUCGUGAUGUUCCAAGCCCCAAGACUCAUCUCGUAGCAACCCAUCUUCAUCACGGUUCAGGCCACUCACCGAAACAGACUAGAGAAACCUGAACCCAUGCUUUCUAGUCAACAGCUGAUGAUGUGAUUCAGAGCAAUAACCCUCUUUAUAAGGAACGCAGAACGCUAUUCUGUAAAGCAACUAGUUUGUCUGUCUUAAAAUAGAAUCCCUGAGGGAUUCUCCUGAGAAAUGUUUAUUUUGAGUGGUCUACACAUUGUCAAGUAAAGCAGCUUCCUCCCUCUGUGAUCCAUACUGCUGUUACCCUGUAAAACAGGAGCCUAUUAAGAAGACAGAUGAUGUAGCCUUCGUGAUCGUUAGGCUCACUGUCCCGACUCUUGUUU